GACUGCUCUGGUGGCUUAGUGAUUAGAGUGUCCGCCUCGGAUGCGUGGGGUCACGGGUUCGAACACCGGCCGAGUCA